rnacentral:rRNA from 1 species
AACGAACGCUGGCGGCAUGCCUAACACAUGCAAGUCGAACGAGACCUUCGGGUCUAGUGGCGCACGGGUGCGUAACGCGUGGGAAUCUACCCUUGGGUUCGGAAUAACUCAGAGAAAUUUGAGCUAAUACCGGAUGAUGUCGCAAGAUCAAAGAUUUAUCGCCCAAGGAUGAGCCCGCGUAGGAUUAGCUUGUUGGUGAGGUAAAAGCUCACCAAGGCGACGAUCCUUAGCUGGUCUGAGAGGAUGAUCAGCCACACUGGGACUGAGACACGGCCCAGACUCCUACGGGAGGCAGCAGUGGGGAAUAUUGGACAAUGGGCGAAAGCCUGAUCCAGCAAUGCCGCGUGAGUGAUGAAGGCCUUAGGGUUGUAAAGCUCUUUUACCCGGGAUGAUAAUGACAGUACCGGGAGAAUAAGCUCCGGCUAACUCCGUGCCAGCAGCCGCGGUAAU